GAUAGCGGUGUGUCUACAUUUUAAAAAAAAGCAAGGCCUGCAAGACGUCGAUAGUGGAAAUUUCAGCUCAACUAACGUAUGACAGAUUAUAAAGCUUAAAGCAGACUCUUGUUACCACAUGGCUUUUACCUGUUGAUUCUUGUGGUUUCAGCUCUUGAGGUUAACCUGUCACCUCUACCCACAUGCAUAUUCCUUGUGUUCUACAGACUAUCUACCGGUAAUUCAAAUUAAAUCGGAUAAUGCAUGAACAAUAAUGGAACUUUAAGAAAGCAUCAUGUCCUAUUGUGGUUUGUUCAUGUUUGAUAAGAAAUUAUGAAAAACAAAAUUAAGGCUGUUUAAAGAAAUAUAAUUGUUGUGAAAAUUUGUUUUUCAAUAAAAGUAUGCAAUUAUG